rnacentral:lncRNA from 1 species
CUGGGACAUCGUGAAAUUCCUCAAACAGGACGCCGUUUGGAGCAGCCCAGCUUCUGUCCAAGUGAGAUUUACAACGUCAUGCUCCAGUGCUGGCAAGACGACACCAAUAGGCGUCCUUCGUUCGCACGACUAGUGACUCUCUUCACAGACAUAAUCAGCGGUAUCGUCAAAGGAAAGGGAAACGUGAGAGUGAGCUUAAACGUUACCUACGACAACUGUCCUCAGCCUGAAUCGGCCGCUGGCGCAGAAUAAAGCGCACGUGGCAAGUUAUCCGCAUCACCCAAAGAAACAACGCUGCGACCAGCUACUUCAGCAGCCUUCCCUACGAGUGCGUCCGUUCACAAACGAACCUCUUUGACUGAAAGUAAUGGAAUGCUCAAACACGCCGAGAAUUCGUAAUUUCACGGCAGCGAUCACAGGGGGUCUCGUAAGAAAUAAAUUAUGUUGGCGUU